GACAGGGGUGGCAAGCGUUGUUCGGAGUGACUGGGCGUAAAGGGUCUGUAGGUGGUUUUUCAAGUCUUUGGUAAAAAGCCGUGGCUUAACCAUGGUGAGGCCAAGGAGACUGGGAGACUGGAGGCUGGGAGAGGGAAGCGGAAUUUCUGGUGUAGCGGUGAAAUGCGUAGAUAUCAGAAGGAAGGCCGGUGGCGAAGGCGGCUUCCUGGAACAGACCUGACACUGAGAGACGAAAGCGUGGGGAGCAAACAGG
rnacentral:rRNA from 1 species